GAGAGAAGCCAUGGCCUUUAAAUGGAAGCACAUGGUCACCGAGAUAGAGUCCCCCUCUCCUUCUUCUCUACUUCUUCACGUGUGAUCCUCUUCUCCGCCUCCUUUUCCUCUCUCUUUGAGGUUUUGAUCUUUGGUUUUUUGGGUGUUGGUGAUGGAGGAGAAGAAGGGAACAGUUGGUUCACCGAAAGCUUCGAUCACGGAUGAGCUUUUUGGGAAGAAGGAUGCGGCGGAGAUCCUUGGGGCUGUUUUGUCACCACCGGUUCCUGCUCCGGUUGCUUCGGAUGGGGGAAAAGUUGGAAAGGAUUCACUGGGUUUUGAGAUUGCAUCAUCAAAGAAGCAAGCAACUGAGGACCAGGCUUGGAAGGCACAGAGCUUGACUGCUGAGGCCAAACCCCAAGGAGGGAGCUCAAGCAAAAGCCAGAAUGUUCCUUACCAAGAUAAGUACUGCAUUGAGGCAACAAUGGACACUUCUAGCCUGGGUUCGUCUCUGUAUUAUGGUGGCCCUGAUGUCUGUGCUGGCUUUUCAUCUCAAUACCCUCCCAAAAAGGAGGAUGAUGAUGACCAGGAAAAUGCGAACAUGGCUUCGAGGGGCAAUUGGUGGCAAGGUAUUAUAAGCACAUAUGGGAAGAAAGCUUUAUUAGAGUAUUGUAUAAAUAAAUGAAAAAACUCGAUUAAGAUUGAUGUUGUUUUCUUUUUCAGGAUCACUUUACUAUUGAUGGUUCUCGGGGAGUUAGCUCUCUGCUUAUAUGGCAAGAUACUUUUGGAGAGCAGUAGAAAUAGAUGGCUGCCGUAAAAUAAAUAAUUGGACAAUUAGCAAGGUCCUAUCUCAACAAAAACAAAGGUUCUUGUUUUUCUUCCCCCUUUUUGAGGAAGUCAUCACAAGAGCUCUGUAGUUCCUACCGUAUACUAUAUAUGAACCGUAUAUAUAUAUAUAUAUAUAUAGAUAGAGAGAGAGAGAGAAACAGCGCAUGUUGUGCAACAGUGUGAAUUUAAAGCAGCAGUUUUCUUUGUUUUUAGGCAGUCAUAUAUAUUGAUGUUAGUCUAUAGACCAUCUGUGUUACCCGGA